UACGUAGGGUGCAAGCGUUGUCCGGAAUUAUUGGGCGUAAAGAGCUUGUAGGCGGUUUGUCGCGUCUGCUGUGAAAUUUCGGGGCUCAACCCCGAACUUGCAGUGGGUACGGGCAGACUAGAGUGUGGUAGGGGAGACUGGAAUUCCCGGUGUAGUGGUGAAAUGCGUAGAGAUCGGGAGGAAUACCUGUGGCGAAGGCGGCCUACUGGGCCGGACCUGACGCUGAGACGCGAAAGCGUGGGGAGCAAACAGG
rnacentral:rRNA from 1 species